rnacentral:lncRNA from 1 species
GCACGAUAUUGUUAACCUGAUAACCAGUCUCACUUGUCUGGCCAUUAAUUAAGCCUCCAUCCGAAAUGCCAGCAUAAAACUAAAUAUUGUCCGGCAUCGCCAAAUGUCAACAGGAUUUUCGUAUUGCCUUGCGAGCGAAAGGGAUAUCAGGGAUACGAAAUCUCUGCUACGUACGUCAGUGCUUAAUUAAAUCUCUCUGGACAACUUUAUUUCACUUCCAGGACAACCCCAUUACCCGCUGUCAAAUUAAGGUUUAACACAGCCCUAGCAGGCUGCUGCAUAAGUUUGUGGCAGUCUGGUUAUCCCCCGCUGACUCUGACUCUCGCUCGCUGAUGCUUGGCUAAAACUAAUUUCAGCUAGAUGAUGUCAAGUCAUUAAGUUAUUGUGGCCUGGACUUCUGACCCCAAAAUAGCUCUGAGCCCUGUGCAUGAGAUACGAGCUAAAGAGGAGACCAAAGGACCAAAGACCAAAGUUCAAGUAACUUUCAGUUGGCAGAACUUGUUGCAUGAUAAAAUGUCUACUCAAUGGCAGAAAAUUACAUGAAAUUCGCAGAGAACUACAAACGUUCUUGUGGCUGUCGUACUCUCAUGUAGUUUGCUAAUUGCAGUUGGAAAACUAUGCCUUAUGGGAGGGAUAAAUGCUUAAAG